CUUCCAGACUCCUACGGGAGGCAGCAGUGAGGAAUAUUGGUCAAUGGGCGAGAGCCUGAACCAGCCAAGUCGCGUGAAGGAUGACGGCCCUACGGGUUGUAAACUUCUUUUGUCAGGGAGCAAAGGGCGCCACGUGUGGCGUUUUGCGAGUACCUGAAGAAAAAGCAUCGGCUAACUCCGUGCCAGCAGCCGCGGUAAUACGGAGGAUGCGAGCGUUAUCCGGAUUUAUUGGGUUUAAAGGGUGCGCAGGCGGAAUGUCAAGUCAGCGGUAAAAUUUCGGGGCUCAACCCCGUCGUGCCGUUGAAACUGGCGUUCUUGAGUGAGCGAGAAGUAUGCGGAAUGCGUGGUGUAGCGGUGAAAUGCAUAGAUAUCACGCAGAACUCCGAUUGCGAAGGCAGCAUACCGGCGCUCAACUGACGCUCAUGCACGAAAGCGUGGGUAUCGAACAGGAUUAGAUACCCGGGUA
rnacentral:rRNA from 1 species